rnacentral:lncRNA from 1 species
CUUAUGACGGGUCAACCACUAGUAGUAGCUACUAUUCAUCCUCCUCAGGGGCCUGUGUACCACAUCUGACUACAGGGAAAGGUUCACCCAGUGACCACAGGACAGAAUCAAGUUCACAGAAAAGCUAGGAAUUGGAUCCAUGGAACUAAUGAAUUGGAUGGCUGUCACUAUCCAGUUAGAAGAAGGAUCAGACCAUUGCAAACUAAAAUCUGGUGUCUGUGUGAGUGCAUGCCACAAGUAUGCAGGGGCCUGCAGAGGCCAGAAGAUGACAUUGGCUCCCCUGGAAGUUACAGGUGAUGGCAAGCUGCCAGAUAUUCCAGAACUGCUAGGAAGAAUAUCUGUCAUUGGAGCCACCCAAUCCACAGGUUUGGUUUUGUUUUUUAUGCCAGCCCCAACUGACCAAUAGAAGUUACCAACAUUUGAAUGUAAAAGAAUAUGUUGAAUUUCCAAUUCACUCGGCUUCAUGCUCACAGUGG